UGGGGAAUAUUGGACAAUGGGCGCAAGCCUGAUCCAGCCAUGCCGCGUGAGUGAUGAAGGCCCUAGGGUUGUAAAGCUCUUUCAGCGAGGAGGAUAAUGACGUUACUCGCAGAAGAAGCCCCGGCUAACUUCGUGCCAGCAGCCGCGGUAAUACGAAGGGGGCUAGCGUUGUUCGGAAUCACUGGGCGUAAAGCGCACGUAGGCGGACUUUUAAGUCAGGGGUGAAAUCCCGGGGCUCAACCUCGGAACUGCCUUUGAUACUGGAAGUCUGGAGUCCGAGAGAGGUGAGUGGAACUCCGAGUGUAGAGGUGAAAUUCGUAGAUAUUCGGAAGAACACCAGUGGCGAAGGCGGCUCACUGGCUCGGUACUGACGCUGAGAUGCGAAAGCGUGGGGAGCAAACAGGAUUAGAUACCCUGGUAGUCCACGCCGUAAACGAUGGAAGCUAGCCGUCAGGGUGCAUGCAUCUUGGUGGCGCAGUUAACGCAUUAAGCUUCCCGCCUGGGGAGUACGGUCGCAAGAUUAAAACUCAAAUGAAUUGACGGGGUCAUAGCUGUUUCCU
rnacentral:rRNA from 1 species